rnacentral:lncRNA from 1 species
AGCAGGUCAAGUUUAUCAAGUUUCCACUUUGUCUCUUUCGGGAGUGCUUCUACUAGCAUGAACAAAUACAUCUGUGUUGUCUUGGUGCUGGCAGUGAUCUGUGUGAAGGAGUGGAAAUUUUUUGUUCCCGAGAGGUUCUACGCGUCCCACUUGGGUGAAAUCUCUGACUUCCUAGACUCGCAUGGAUAUCCUUUGGAAAGCCAUGAAGUUCAGACAGAGGAUGGUUAUUUACUGACGGUUCACCGCAUCCCGAAUGGUCGACAUCACGUGCAAAAAUCAACCCCCAAACCUCCAGUUUUCCU